rnacentral:tRNA from 1 species
GUUGUGGCUCAGUGGUGGAGCACUUGCCUAGCAUGCAUGAGGUACUGGGUUGGAUCCUCAGCAUCACA